CCGGGAUUCCACUCGCCCCGGACCACAAGAACAUCGGGAGUUGGAGGUACCAGCCCACAUGGGAUGAUUGUCAGCAUCUGCUUCAGACUCUCCUAACGGCUGAGGAGAGGCAACGGGUUCUUUUAGAAGCCA